AUGGUAAUCUUGCCUGACCAUUGGUUUUUUGAGUUCUUUCAAAGAGUAUUCUUCUUGGCUUGCAGGUUGCCGCUAGAGCCGGACAAGAUAAGGCUUGCCUUACCUGGUGACGUACUGGCUAGGAGAGUGCAAGCUGCCGCCCACACGUACCAGAUGGUCCCAUCAAGGACGUUGUCGUACCGACUGCCAAUGAUCUACAGCUCAGGCCAUUUUUGUCGUUGUAUGACAAGGCUAUCAAUGUCAUCACUGAGCCGCCUUCUUUGCUUCAGAGGCUUAUUGUGCUGCUAUAGUUCUCUGUCUCUUAUCCACUCACCCAUUGUAGUGCAGCAAUUGCAACCUCCACAUUCCCAUGGCUGCUCAUCCUCUAACUUUCUCUAG
rnacentral:rRNA from 1 species